rnacentral:tRNA from 1 species
GGGCUCGUAGUUCAGUGGUAGAACACCGCAUUCGCAUUGCGGAGACGUGAGUUCGAUUCUCAUCGAGUCCA